CUGACGCGUCCUCGCGGCGUGACAAGCGCCUACUGGGCAACGGCAUGCCCUGGGGGGGUGCCGCACGCGACAUCGGUGCUUGGCCGCCACUGGUGUCCGACGCUGAGGGUCCGUCUAACGCCACAGGAGCGGGCUUAGGCUGGGAUACCAGAAGUCAGCCGUUCUCGAAACACUCUUCUAGAUUGCAUCUGCGUUCUCUGUUGUGUCUGUGCUCGCUUUCACAAUUACAGAACGCGAUGUCCAAGGAAUGCGGCUGGCGCUUUUGCCCGGUAUUUUUGAUAAGGUUCCCUGCCAUUUGGGACUUUGCGAUCCUUUCACAACAAGCGUAGUAUCCCGGCCCUGAGCGGAGUUCAGAUAAAUCCCGCUCCCACGAAUCCGAGAUUUUACAGAAUCUCUUAUGAAAGGC
rnacentral:misc_RNA from 1 species